rnacentral:rRNA from 1 species
UACGAGGGGGGCGAGCGUUUGUUCGGAAUUAUUGGGCGUAAAGGGUGCGUAGGCGGCCUGACAAGUCUGAUGUGAAAUCCCUGGGCUCAACCCAGGGCCUGCAUCGGAAACUGUCGGGCUUGAGUAUGGGAGAGGUGAGUGGAAUUUCCGGUGUAGCGGUGAAAUGCGUAGAUAUCGGAAGAACACCUGUGGCGAAAGCGGCUCACUGGACCAUUACUGACGCUGAGGCACGAAAGCUAGGGGAGCAAACAGG